CCUUUCUCAGUUCUUCAGCUGAACUCCGUAACUUCUGAGUUACUAACGGCUUUCAAACUUGAGCAAGCAUCAAAAUCACCUGAGAGCUCACUAAGACACAGGAGGUGGGGGGCGGACAGCAGGAACAGCUGAUUUAGUAGAUGAGAGGAAGAGCCCUGUGAUUUGACGCUCUCUCAGUUCUCAGGUGAUGCUGAUAAAGUAUCUUUGAGGACCAUUGAUUUUUGUAGCUUGCUUGGCUUCUAGAAUCUGCUUUUUUCUCUCUCUUCAGAGCUGAAGGUGCCUGCUUCUGAACCUAAUGGUUUGAAGUUUCUUCACAUUUCCAUCUUCGGGAUGAAUGUAAAUCCAAGCAGAACCAAUCCAGUCCUUGGGAAGCCAACAGCAAGUUCACCACACUUCUAAAUGUUGCUGAAUGGUUCCUAUUUCAAAUGUUUAGUCCAAGCUUGGAAACUUUUGACCUCUGACUCUGUUACCAUUGUGGAAAGAAUUGUUCAAAUCCCUCAACUACCAGGGCAGACAAUCCAAGAAAAAGAAAACAUAUACAAGCUGCAAGAAAAAUAAAUUCCCAAUCAACAUUUUUUGCCACAGUUACUAAAAAGUCUGAGAGGCUAUAUUUAUAUGAACUCUACUAGAGAAAAAUAUUUCAUAUAAAAAUAUGUCUUUAUGUGGGACUCUGUGUGUGGGUUGACUUGAUUAAAAUCCAUUCACAAUUGGAAAGGAUUUCAUUUUACAUUUUAAAAUCAGCGUUUAAGUUCAGUAAACAUUAGAGGAAACACAUUUGGAAUGUAUCUAUAUAUAUAUUUUGUUGUUGUUGUUGCAUUUAAGGAAGAAAAUUUAGACGUUAGGUAAGCAAACACAAUUCCCUUUGCAAUUACUGAGAGUUUCACCUAUGCAUCUUAGGAUAGAAUAUCUGACUAAAUUUGUGUUAUUUAGAAACCAAGGAUUGGAAUUAUAUUAAAUGCUUUAUAUCUAGACCAAACUAUUCUCACAUCUACCUUUGGUAUGAUACACAUUUGCUUUGUUCCCCGCCAUAACUUUUUUUUUUUUUUUUUUUUUACACUAUAUGUUAUGUACCUUUUUUUGUGGUGGAAAACACCAAGACUUUGUGUUUUGGGCUGUAAGUUACAUGGAAAAUAGUCCAUGUUGAAUUUCAUUUUAUGCCAAGAAUUAGCAUAGCAUGUUUGGGUUUCAUAGUCCUGACAGAAAAACACAAUUUGUCUUUGGUGUCCUCUCUCUCUCUCUCUCUUUUUUUGCUAUUUAUAUCCCAUUUUAAUAUACUAGAACUUAAAAAUAUUUAGUUUUCUUAUCCUGAUAGGCUUCAAAUGUGCCUGUAAUGAAUAUUAUUUUUAAUUUUAAAAUAUAGACAAGAGUUGCAAAAUUUUACAUGGAUGUUAGAAUUCAGGUCUUGUUUUAUCAGUAUUAGCUUUCAACACUUUGUAACAAAUUACCACAAAUGUGUGGCACUAAACAACACACACUCAUUAUCUCAGUUUCUAUGUGUUAAAGGCCGGGCAUGGCUUAAAUAGUUCUCAUCUGAAGAUUCUACUGAGAAAUAAUCAGAUUCCAAGCUCCUUCAGGUUGUUGGUAAAAUUCAUUUCCUUCUGAUUGUAGGAUUUGUGUUAGCUUGCUUUUUCAAAACCAAGGACAGGAGGGAGUAUCUGAGACUCUAGAGCAAGUGGACCACCAAGACUGAGUCUUCUCUGAUGUUAUGGAAGUGAUAUCUGACCACUUUAUCCAUAUGACAUAAUCAUGGGAAUGACAUCUCAUUACAUCUGCCAUAUUCUAUUGGUUAGAAACAAGUCAUACUCAAGGGAAUGAACACCAAGGAUGGAAUCAUGGGGACCUCUAUAAAGUCUGUCCACCACACCACAGCAAUUAUAUUGACUACAUUAUGAAAAAUAUGUUUUGGCUUGAUGCAUAGACCCAUUUCCUCUCUUUCUGUUUGAUGGUGCAUCAUAGUCAAAACUGUAUGAUAUAUACGCCAUUAAUUUCUAAGCAAAGAAAUAAAUAGUAUGUGAUAUUAGAUCUUCUUCCCUCUUCUGUAGUAGAAGACUGACUUGACCUUGAAUAAAGCUAGAAAGAAAAAUAUAGUACUUUUAUAUUUUGCUGCUUAUAUGUCUUUCUUUUUUGUGCAAUAAUUAUUAUAAAUAUAACUACACGUUCUUGGCACAAUAUUCAAAUAGAACGGGUGAGUGUAAAAAAAUAUGAAAUUAAAUGAAAAAUCAUGAAGGUAACCACUACUCACUACUCCAGCAAUUUUCUAUACAUAUACAAGAUUAUACAUAUAUGUAUAUGUACAUAUACAUAUACUUUUAGAUUCUUAAGCAGCUACAUUUUUUUUCUAGAACUUUCUUAUAUCCUUGAUGUCUGUCUAUAGAAAUAACAAUAGCUAUGUUUUAUUCUCCUUUAUCGAUGUUUAGUAUUCCUUUCAAGUAUGUAUCAUAAUUUACUAUGAUUAAAGUUCUCUACAGAGAUGACUUUUUUUCAUUUGUGUGCUAAAAUACCAUCUUUCUAUUAGUUGGGCUUCUUUUGGUUUUAAAAUGUCAUAAGACCCAAUUAAAAUCAGCUUAAGCAGCAAAGGAAAUUUGCCAUCACAGUUCAAAAAAAUUAGGAAUACAACUGAUUUCCAGUAUGAUAGAUUCCAUGCCCUGAAUUAAUGUUAUCUGAACUGGUUUCUACCCAUCUUUGGGCUUGCCUCUCUUCUGGCUGAUUCUCUCAUUAGGCUGGCUUUCCUGUCAAAGAUGUCAGAAUGGUUGCCAGCAGCUCCAAACUUACAGCCUUGUCCCCGGAAACUAGCAGAAAAAAGUGAUCUUGCCUUCUGUUUCCUCAGUCAAAUGUAUAGGAACAAUUCUCAUUGAGCCUGGUUGGUUCAAAACUCUUUCUCUUGACCAAUUGUUGGGGUCAUGGGAGGUGAUGUCCUGAGUGUUCAACUUUGGGUCAUAUGCUACUUUUGGAGCGUGGGUAUCAGCUCUACUGGAAUAAUGUGAACUAGGAACUGGGAGCUGGGAGAUGGAACAUGCUUACUAUUUCUUUGUGAAUGUAUCUUUGUCAAUUUGUGUACUUUAUUUGCUGUUUGCUAGGUAAAUUAUUAGAGGUAUAAAUGCUUCAGCUACUAAUGUCUACUUAUGUCCAUUCUAGACUUAAUAAAACUUAAUAUUUUCUAACCAAAUAUGAGCAAAAUAAAAUUCCAGUGUUCAAUAGGUAUUUCUUUCAUAAUGACUACAGAUGAGCAUAUUUUUAUUUUUCUAUUUACAAUAGAAAUAUUUGUGUUUUGUGUUUACAAUGACCUCCCUGUAUAUAUGGAUUUCUAAUUGUGCCAGAACAAGUAACAUAAUGGAAGUACUAAAAAUAGUGUAAAUAUGUCUAAAUUUUAUUUAACUUGAAGAUAAUUUUACCCUUGCAAGGGUGAGAUUUAUGACUUGGUAAGUUGGAUGGGGCAAGGAGAGGCUAUAGAGGAGGAAAUAAGUUAUAUCUAGGUUCACUUUUUUUUUUUUUAACAUUCCACACAACUCCUAAUAUAUUACUUUAUCAAAUGAGAAGUAAGGAGAGAAUGGAGCAAUAUAAUGUUACAGUCUGAGCAGACCUGAUGAAUCACCAAGAGGCU
rnacentral:lncRNA from 1 species